rnacentral:tRNA from 1 species
CCUUGGAUGGUGGAAAUGGUUAACAUGCUUGCCUGCUAACCAAGAGGUUGGGGGUUCGAGCCUACUCAGAAGG